rnacentral:tRNA from 1 species
GGCACUAUGGCGGAGUGGUUAUCGCGUCAGACUAGAAUGCUCUUUCAAUCUGAUCUCUUUAGAGGCGCAAGUUCAAAUCUUGCUGGUGUCG